AUGCAAGUCGAACGUGAAGCCGUCCUUCGGGAUGGUGGAAAGUGGCGCACGGGUGAGUAACGCGUGGGAACCUGCCCAACGGUACGGAAUAACCGCGGGAAACUGCGGCUAAUACCGUAUACGCCCCAUGGGGGAAAGAUUUAUCGCCGAUGGAGGGGCCCGCGUCGGAUUAGGUUGUUGGUAGGGUAACGGCCUACCAAGCCGACGAUCCGUAGUUGGUCUGAGAGGAUGAUCAGCCACACUGGGACUGAGACACGGCCAGACUCCUACGGGAGGCAGCAGUGGGGAAUAUUGGACAAUGGGCGCAAGCCUGAUCCAGCAAUGCCGCGUGAGUGAAGAAGGCCCUAGGGUUGUAAAGCUCUUUCACCGGGGAAGAUAAUGACGGUACCUGGAGAAGAAGCCCCGGCUAACUCCGUGCCAGCAGCCGCGGUAAUACGGAGGGGGCUAGCGUUGUUCGGAAUUACUGGGCGUAAAGCGCGCGUAGGCGGCCAUGCAAGUUGGGCGUGAAAGCCCGGGGCUCAACCCCGGAAUUGCGUUCAAAACUGCAUGGCUCGAGACCGAGAGAGGUGAGUGGAAUUCCCAGUGUAGAGGUGAAAUUCGUAGAUAUGGGAAGAACA
rnacentral:rRNA from 1 species